CGAGGUAAGCACGUCACUUCCUGUUUCUUUAGGGGAACGUGGCUUUCCCCACAGCGCCCGUCUUCCCUUCUGCGUCUCUGCUGCAGCUGCCGGAGCUGGAGUCGGACCCCGAGUGCAGCCUUGCCAUGGACUCGGCCCUCAGCGACCCGCAUAACGGCAGUGUCGAGGCAGGCGGCCCAACCAACGGUACGACGCGGCCGCCUUCCACGCCCGAGGGCAUCGCGCUGGCCUAUGGCAGCCUCCUGCUCAUGGCGCUGCUGCCCAUCUUCUUCGGCGCUCUGCGCUCCGUGCGCUGCGCCCGCGGCAAGAAUGCCUCGGACAUGCCCGAGACCAUCACCAGCCGGGACGCUGCCCGGUUCCCCAUCAUCGCCAGCUGCACGCUCUUGGGGCUCUACCUCUUUUUCAAAAUAUUCUCCCAGGAGUACAUCAACCUCUUGCUGUCCAUGUAUUUCUUCGUGCUGGGAAUCCUGGCCCUGUCCCACACCAUCAGCCCCUUCAUGAAUAAGUUUUUUCCAGCCAACUUCCCAAAUCGACAGUACCAGCUGCUCUUCACCCAGGGCUCUGGGGAGAACAAGGAAGAGCCCACAGCCAUGCCCUCCUCCGUCCAGGGGCUGACAGGUGGGAGGGGCAGCCCCGCCCCGGGGAGUGGACUUACCCGGCCUCUCUGCCCAGAGAUCAUCAAUUAUGAGUUUGACACCAAGGACCUGGUGUGCCUGGGCCUGAGCAGCAUCGUUGGUGUCUGGUACCUGCUGAGGAAGCACUGGAUUGCCAACAACCUCUUCGGCCUGGCCUUUUCCCUUAACGGGGUGGAGCUCCUGCACCUGAACAACGUCAGCACCGGCUGCAUCCUGCUGGGCGGGCUCUUCAUCUACGAUAUCUUCUGGGUAUUUGGCACCAAUGUGAUGGUGACAGUGGCCAAGUCCUUUGAGGCACCAAUAAAAUUGGUGUUUCCCCAGGAUCUGCUGGAGAAGGGCCUGGAAGCGGACAAUUUUGCCAUGCUGGGACUCGGAGACAUCGUCAUUCCAGGAAUCUUCAUCGCCUUGCUGCUGCGUUUUGACAUCAGCUUGAAGAAGAACACCCACACCUACUUCUACACCAGCUUUGCAGCCUACAUCUUCGGCCUGGGCCUGACCAUCUUCAUCAUGCACAUCUUCAAACACGCCCAGCCUGCGCUCCUGUACCUGGUCCCCGCCUGCAUCGGCUUUCCUGUCCUGGUGGCACUGGCCAAGGGAGAAGUGACAGAGAUGUUCAGCUACGAGUCCUCAGCGGAAAUCCUGCCUCAUACCCCGAGGCUCACCCACUUCCCCACAGUCUCGGGCUCCCCAGCCAGCCUGGCGGACUCCAUGCAGCAGAAGCUAGCUGGCCCUCGCCGCCGGCGCCCGCAGAAUCCCAGCGCCAUGUAAUGCCCAGCGGGUGCCCACCUGCCCACUUCCCCCCACUGCCCUGGGGCCCAAGUUAUGAGGAGUCAAAUCCUAAGGAUCCAGCAGCAGUGACAGAAUCCAAAGAGGGAACAGAGGCCUCAACAUCGAAGGGGCUGGAGAAGAAGGAGAAAUGAUGCGGCUGGUGCCUGACCCUCUGAGGGCCAGACACACGGGCGGGGUGGUCCCCCCAACACGGGCCCGCACGGCCGCAGUCCUGCUGAAGGGGACCGGCAGCUCCAGGAGAGGGGCAGGGGCAGCAGGCGCCCUCCAACGGGGCCUCCGGGGCCUGGUCCCCUCUCCCCCUUCUCUGGCCUCGCUCUGCCCCUCCCCAUCCCUGCCCGCAAAGGAAGCCCCAACUGCCCCCACCCCCCGCAAGGUGCCAGGUGGGAAAAGUGGGUCUGAUUUUUAGACUUUUGUAUUGUGGACUGACUUUGCCUCACAUUAAAAACUCAUCCCAUUGCCCGGGCA